rnacentral:misc_RNA from 1 species
AAUUGUCGAUCUUCCCUCAGAUCUGCCAUUUAAAGAAAUAUAUGUGCUCACUAUAGUAAAAAUGACAGCAAUAAUGACCAGGCCAAGCUCAUCAUUCUAUAAGCAAUUAUGUUUAUAUCAUAGUGAAUGUGCAUACACUUGAAAGCAAUAUAUGCGUAGAAAAGCAUCAAAUAGCAUGCAUUAUCCCCUUAACAGAAGAUGCAUAUGCAUCGUUGCCUGCACUAUUGAAUUACAAGAAAUAAAAGGAUGUGAAGUG